UGAACGCUGGCGGCGUGCCUAACACAUGCAAGUCGAACGGAGAUUAGACGCUGACGAGACUUCGGUCAAAUCUUGUUAAUCUUAGUGGCGGACGGGUGAGUAACGCGUGGGCAACCUGCCUCAUACUGGGGGAUAGCAGUUGGAAACGACUGAUAAUACCGCAUAAGCGCACGGAGUCGCAUGACUCAGUGUGAAAAACUCCGGUGGUAUGAGAUGGGCCCGCGUCAGAUUAGCUAGUUGGUGAGGUAACGGCCCACCAAGGCGACGAUCUGUAGCCGGCCUGAGAGGGCGGACGGCCACAUUGGGACUGAGACACGGCCCAAACUCCUACGGGAGGCAGCAGUGGGGGAUAUUGCACAAUGGAGGAAACUCUGAUGCAGCGACGCCGCGUGAAGUGAAGAAGUAUUUCGGUAUGUAAAGCUCUAUCAGCAGGGAAGAAAGACUCGCAAGAGAGAUGACGGUACCUGACUAAGAAGCCCCGGCUAACUACGUGCCAGCAGCCGC
rnacentral:rRNA from 1 species